UGAGGCAGGAGAAUUGCUUGAACCCAGGAGGUGGAGGUUGCAGUGAGCCAAGAUCGUGCCACUGUACUCCAGCCUGGGUGACAGAGCGAGACUCUGUCUC
rnacentral:miRNA from 1 species